rnacentral:rRNA from 1 species
UACGGAGGGUGCAAGCGUUAUCCGGAUUCACUGGGUUUAAAGGGUGCGUAGGUGGGUUGGUAAGUCAGUGGUGAAAUCCCCGAGCUUAACUUGGGAACUGCCAUUGAUACUAUUAAUCUUGAAUACCGUGGAGGUCAGCGGAAUAUGUCAUGUAGCGGUGAAAUGCUUAGAUAUGACAUAGAACACCAAUUGCGAAGGCAGCUGGCUACGCGAAUAUUGACACUGAUGCACGAAAGCGUGGGGAUCAAACAGGAUUAGAUACCCUGGUAGUCCACGCCCUAAACUAUGGAUACUCGACAUCAGCGAUACACUGUUGGUGUCUGAGCGAAAGCAUUAAGUAUCCCACCUGGGAAGUACGAUCGCAAGAUUGAAACUCAAAG